rnacentral:rRNA from 1 species
AGUGAACGCUGGCGGUAGGCCUAACACAUGCAAGUCGAACGGCAGCACAGUAAGAGCUUGCUCUUACGGGUGGCGAGUGGCGGACGGGUGAGGAAUACAUCGGAAUCUACUUUUUCGUGGGGGAUAACGUAGGGAAACUUACGCUAAUACCGCAUACGACCUACGGGUGAAAGCAGGGGAUCUUCGGACCUUGCGCGAUUGAAUGAGCCGAUGUCGGAUUAGCUAGUUGGCGGGGUAAAGGCCCACCAAGGCGACGAUCCGUAGCUGGUCUGAGAGGAUGAUCAGCCACACUGGAACUGAGACACGGUUCAGACUCCUACGGGAGGCAGCAGUGGGGAAUAUUGGACAAUGGGCGCAAGCCUGAUCCAGCCAUACCGCGUGGGUGAAGAAGGCCUUCGGGUUGUAAAGCCCUUUUGUUGGGAAAGAAAAGCAGCAGGUUAAUACCCCACUGUUCUGACGGUACCCAAAGAAUAAGUACCGGCUAACUUCGUG